rnacentral:rRNA from 1 species
CCUACGGGAGACAGCAGUGGGGAAUAUUGGGCAAUGGAGGAAACUCUGACCCAGCAACGCCGCGUGAAUGAUGAAGGUCUUCGGAUUGUAAAGUUCUUUUCUAAGGGAAGAAGAAAGUGACGGUACCUUAGGAAUAAGCCUCGGCUAACUACGUGCCAGCAGCCGCGGUAAUACGUAGGAGGCAAGCGUUAUCCGGAAUGACUGGGCGUAAAUGGUGCGUAGGUGGUUCAGCAAGUUAGUAGCGUAAUUCCGGAGCUCAACUUCGGCACUACUACUAAAACUGUUGGACUUGAGUGCAGGAGGGGCAACUGGAAUUUCUAGUGUAGCGGUGGAAUGCGUAGAUAUUAGGAAGAACACCGGUGGCGAAGGCGAGUUGCUGGACUGUAACUGACACUGAGGCACGAAAGCGUAGGGAGCAAACAGGAUUAGAUACCCCAGUAGUC